UUUUAUUUGAGAGUUUGAUCCUGGCUCAGGAUGAACGCUGGCGACGUGGAUAAGGCAUGCAAGUCGUACGGGCACCUUCGGGUGCUAGUGGCAAACGGGUUAGUAACACGUAGAUAUCAACCCCAUUCACGGGCAUAAUCCGCCGAAAGGCGGACUAAUUCCCGAUGGUAUUACCUUUUUGGUGAUUAAAGAUACAGAGUAAUCUGUGUCGGAAUAGGAUGAGUCUGCGGCUUAUCAGCUUGUUGGUGGGGUAAUGGCUCACCAAGGCUAUGACGGGUAGGGGGCGCGAGAGCGCGAUCCCCAACAAGGGCAUUGAGAUACGGGCCCUACUCCUACGGGAGGCAGCAGUCGAGAAUAUUCGACAAUGGGCGAAAGCCUGAUCGAGUGACGUCGCGUGCGGGAAGAAGGCCUUCGGGUCGUAAACCGCUUUUCUGGAGGAAGAACCUUUUAGGUGACGGUACUCCAGGAAUAAGAGGUUGCUAACUCUGUGCCAGCAGCAGCGGUAAUACAGAGACCUCAAGCGUUAUCCGGAUUUAUUGGGCGUAAAGAGUCCGUAGGCGGUUAGGAAAGUCUUAGGUUAAAUACCCAGGGCUCAACCUUGGGAAUGCCUGAGAUACUUUUUAACUAGAGGGCGUUAUAGGCUGACGGAACGCACGGUGUAGGGGUGAAAUCCGUUGAUAUCGUGCGGAACACCAAAAGCGAAGGCAGUCAGCUGGGACGACCCUGACGCUGAGGGACGAAAGCGUGGGGAUCAAAAAGGAUUAGAUACCCUUGUAGUCCACGCUGUAAACGAUGGACACUAGCUGCUUGAAGUGUCGACCCUUCAAGUGGCGAAGCUAACGCGUUAAGUGUCCCGCCUGGGGAGUACGGCGGCAACGCUAAAACUCAAAGGAAUAGACGGGGUUUCACACAAGCGGUGGACCAUGUGGCUUAAUUCGACAAUAAGCGAGGAACCUUACCAGGGCUUGACAGACUAGUGAACGUUCACGGAAACGUGGACCUACCCACAAGGACACUAGUUCAGGUGCUGCAUGGUUGUCGUCAGCAUGUAUCUUGAGACGCUCCCUUAAAUGGGGUAACAUGCGCAACCCUCAUCCUGUGUUUUAUUUGUCACAGGAAACUGCCCGGGACAACCGGGAGGAAGGUGAGGAUGACGCCAAAUCAGCAUGGCCCUUUGAUGCCCUGGGCUGCACACGUGGUACAAUGGGACCGACAAUGGGUUGCCAAGGCGCAAGCUGGAGCUAAUCCCAACAAACGGUCUCACAGUUCGGAUCGAGGUCUGCAACUCGACCUCAUGAAGCUGGAAUCGCUAGUAAUCGCCAAUCAGCCAUGUGGCGAUGAAUAUGUUCCUGAAACUUGUACUCACCGCCCGUCACACCAGAAGAGCUGGCAAUACCCGAAGUUCCGAGCAAUCGGACCUAAGGUAAGGUCAGUAAUGAGGGUGAAGUCGUAACAAGGCACCGGUAGGGGAACCUGUCGGUGGAUCA
rnacentral:rRNA from 1 species